rnacentral:rRNA from 1 species
UACGAAGGGGGCUAGCGUUGCUCGGAAUCACUGGGCGUAAAGGGUGCGUAGGCGGGUUUUUAAGUCAGGGGUGAAAUCCUGGAGCUCAACUCCAGAACUGCCUUCGAUACUAGCAAUCUCGAGUCCGGAAGAGGUUGGUGGAACAGCUAGUGUAGAGGUGAAAUUCGUAGAUAUUCGGAAGAACACCGGUGGCGAAGGCGGCCACCUGGACGGUCACUGACGCUGAGACGCGAAAGCGUGGGUAGCAAACAGG